rnacentral:rRNA from 1 species
GUCCUACGGGACGCAGCAGUGAGGAAUAUUGGUCAAUGGGCGGAAGCCUGAACCAGCCAAGUCGCGUGAGGGAAGAAGGCCCUGCGGGUCGCAGACCUCUUUGGACGGGGAGCAAGGCCGCCGACGUGUCGGCGGAAGGAGAGUACCCGUAGAACAAGCAUCGGCUAACUCCGUGCCAGCAGCCGCGGUAAUACGUAGGUGGCAAGCGUUAUCCGGAUUUACUGGGUGUAAAGGGCGUGUAGGCGGGAAAGCAAGUCAGAUGUGAAAACCAUGGGCUCAACCUGUGGCCUGCAUUUUAAACUGUU